rnacentral:rRNA from 1 species
ACGGACCUAGGGGCGCAGCAGUGGGGGAUAUUGCACAAUGGGGGAAACCCUGAUGCAGCGACGCCGCGUGAGCGAUGAAGUAUUUCGGUAUGUAAAGCUCUAUCAGCAGGGAAGAAAAUGACGGUACCUGACUAAGAAGCCCCGGCUAACUACGUGCCAGCAGCCGCGGUAAUACGUAGGGGGCAAGCGUUAUCCGGAUUUACUGGGUGUAAAGGGAGCGUAGACGGCAGUGCAAGUCUGAAGUGAAAGGCAAGGGCUCAACCCUUGGACUGCUUUGGAAACUGUGCUGCUGGAGUGUCGGAGAG